AAACCAUGCAUUGGCAUUUUCUAAUUAACUCCUUGAAUUGCUCUCAUGCUUUAUAUUAGUUUUCAUCCUUAGAUUGCUGAAAGGACGUAAUAUCAUUUCUCAAUUU
rfam:Gossypium raimondii chromosome 3, whole genome shotgun sequence.